AGCAGCAGCCGCGGUAAAACGGAGGGUGCAAGCGUUAUCCGGAUUUAUUGGGUUUAAAGGGUCCGUAGGCGGAUCUGUAAGUCAGUGGUGAAAUCUCACAGCUUAACUGUGAAACUGCCAUUGAUACUGCAGGUCUUGAGUAAAUUUGAAGUGGCUGGAAUAAGUAGUGUAGCGGUGAAAUGCAUAGAUAUUACUUAGAACACCAAUUGCGAAGGCAGGUCACUAAGAUUUAACUGACGCUGAUGGACGAAAGCGUGGGGAGCGAACAGGAUUAGAUACCCCAGUAGUCCCUGUCUCUUAUAC
rnacentral:rRNA from 1 species